AACGAACGCUGGCGGCAUGCCUAACACAUGCAAGUCGAACGAGACCUUCGGGUCUAGUGGCGCAGGUGUGCGUAACGCGUGGGAAGCUACCCUUAGGUUCGGAAUACCUCCCCGAAGGGGGUGCUCAUACCGGAUAAUGUCUUCGGACCAAAGAUUUCUCGCCUUUGGGUGGGCGCGGGUUAGAUUAGCGGGUUGGUAGUGUAAAAGCCUAUCAAGGCGACGAUCCUUAGCUGGUGUGAUAGGAGGAUCAUCCACGAUGGGACUGAGACACGGCCUAGACUCGUAGGGAAGGGAGCAGUAGAGAAUAUUAGACGAGGAGGGAAAGCGUAACACAGCAAUGCCGCGGGAGUCAUGAAGGCCGUAGGGUUGCAAAGCUCUUUGACACGGAAUGAUAAUGACAGUACCGGGUGAAUAAGCACCGGCUAACUACGUG
rnacentral:rRNA from 1 species